GCUUACGGCCAUACCACCUUAGGCACGCCCGAUCUCGUCUGAUCUCGGAAGCAAAGCAGGGUCGGGCCUGGUUAGUA
rnacentral:rRNA from 10 species